rnacentral:rRNA from 1 species
AACGAACGCUGGCGGCAGGCCUAACACAUGCAAGUCGAGCGAGACCUUCGGGUCUAGCGGCGGACGGGUGAGUAACGCGUGGGAACGUGUCCUUUUCUACGGAAUAGCCUCGGGAAACUGAGCGUAAUACCGUAUACGCCCUUUGGGGGAAAGAUUUAUCGGAGAAGGAUCGGCCCGCGUUGGAUUAGGUAGUUGGUGGGGUAAUGGCCUACCAAGCCUACGAUCCAUAGCUGGUUUGAGAGGAUGAUCAGCCACACUGGGACUGAGACACGGCCCAGACUCCUACGGGAGGCAGCAGUGGGGAAUCUUAGACAAUGGGGGCAACCCUGAUCUAGCCAUGCCGCGUGAGUGAUGAAGGCCUUAGGGUUGUAAAGCUCUUUCAGCUGGGAAGAUAAUGACGGUACCAGCAGAAGAAGCCCCGGCUAACUCCGUG